AACGAACGCUGGCGGCAGGCCUAACACAUGCAAGUCGAGCGCGCCCUUCGGGGUGAGCGGCGGACGGGUGAGUAACGCGUGGGAACGUGCCCUUCUCUGCGGAAUAGCCUCGGGAAACUGAGAGUAAUACCGCAUACGCCCUUUGGGGGAAAGAUUUAUCGGAGAAGGAUCGGCCCGCGUUGGAUUAGGUAGUUGGUGGGGUAAUGGCCCACCAAGCCGACGAUCCAUAGCUGGUUUGAGAGGAUGAUCAGCCACACUGGGACUGAGACACGGCCCAGACUCCUACGGGAAGCAGCAGUGGGGAAUCUUAGACAAUGGGGGCAACCCUGAUCGAGCCAUGCCGCGUGAGUGAUGAAGGCCUUAGGGUUGUAAAGCUCUUUCAGCUGGGAAGAUAAUGACGGUACCAGCAGAAGAAGCCCCGGCUAACUCCGUG
rnacentral:rRNA from 1 species